rnacentral:rRNA from 1 species
AGAGUUUGAUCAUGGCUCAGGAUGAACGCUAGCUACAGGCUUAACACAUGCAAGUCGGAGGGGAAACGAUAUUGGAAGCUUGCUUCCGAUAGGCGUCGACCGGCGCACGGGUGAGUAACGCGUAUCCAACCUGCCCACCACUUGGGGAUAACCUUGCGAAAGUAAGACUAAUACCCAAUGACGUCUCUAGAAGACAUCUGAAAGAGAUUAAAGAUUUAUCGGUGAUGGAUGGGGAUGCGUCUGAUUAGCUUGUUGGGCGGGGUAACGGCCACCAAGGCUACGAUCAGUAGGGGUUCUGAGAGGAAGGUCCCCACAUUGGAACUGAGACACGGUCCAAACUCAUACGGGAGCA